GGAGAGGUGUCCGAGCUGGCCGAAGGAGCACGAUUGGAAAUCGUGUAUGCGCCAAAAGCGUAUCCGGGGUUCAAAUCCCCGCCUCUCCGCCA
rnacentral:tRNA from 9 species